rnacentral:rRNA from 1 species
GAUGAACGCUGGCGGCGUGCCUAAUACAUGCAAGUCGAGCGAACGGACGAGAAGCUUGCUUCUCUGAUGUUAGCGGCGGACGGGUGAGUAACACGUGUAUAACCUACCUAUAAGACUGGGAUAACUUCGGGAAACCUGAUCUAAUACCGGAUAAUAUUUUGAACCGCAUGGUUCAAAAGUGAUAGACGGUCUUGCUGUCACUUAUAGAUGGUUCCUCGCUGCAUUAGCUAGUUGGUAAGGUAACGGCUUACCAAGGCAACGAUGCAUAGCUGACCUGAGAGGGUGAUCGGCCACACUGGAACUGAGACACGGUCCAGACUCCUACGGGAGGCAGCAGUAGGGAAUAUUCCGCAAUGGGCGAAAGCCUGACGGAGCAACGCCGCGUGAGUGAUGAAGGUCUUCGGAUCGUAAAACUCUGUUAUUAGGGAAGAAAAUAUGUGUAAGUAAAUGUGCACAUCUUGACGGUACCUAAACAGAAAGCCACGGCUAACUACGUG